GAUGAACGCUGGCGGCGUGCCUAAUACAUGCAAGUCGAGCGAACAGACGAGGAGCUUGCUCCUCUGACGUUAGCGGCGGACGGGUGAGUAACACGUGGAUAACCUACCUAUAAGACUGGGAUAACUUCGGGAAACCGGAGCUAAUACCGGAUAAUAUAUUGAACCGCAUGGUUCAAUAGUGAAAGACGGUUUUGCUGUCACUUAUAGAUGGAUCCGCGCCGCAUUAGCUAGUUGGUAAGGUAACGGCUUACCAAGGCGACGAUGCGUAGCCGACCUGAGAGGGUGAUCGGCCACACUGGAACUGAGACACGGUCCAGACUCCUACGGGAGGCAGCAGUAGGGAAUCUUCCGCAGUGGGCGAAAGCCUGACGGAGCAACGCCGCGUGAGUGAUGAAGGUCUUCGGAUCGUAAAACUCUGUUAUUAGGGAAGAACAAAUGUGUAAGUAACUAUGCACGUCUUGACGGUACCUAAACAGAAAGCCACGGCUACCUACGU
rnacentral:rRNA from 1 species